CUUUUGAUAUUUAAAGUUUCGACGGUACAGGAUGGGCAUGCGUAACAUUAGCUAGUUGGUAGGGUAACGGCCUACCAAGGCGACGAUGUUUAGGGGUCCUAAGAGGGUGAUCCCCCACACUGGUACUGAGACACGGACCAGACUCCUACGGGAGGCAGCAGUGAGGAAUAUUGGUCAAUGGGCGCAAGCCUGAACCAGCCAUCCCGCGUGCAGGAAGACGGCGCUAUGCGUUGUAAACUGCUUUUCCAGGGGAAGAAAACCCACGACGUGUCGUGGCUUGCCGGUACCCUGGGAAUAAGCAUCGGCUAACUCCGUGCCAGCAGCCGCGGUAAUACGGAGGAUGCGAGCGUUAUCCGGAUUUAUUGGGUUUAAAGGGUGCGUAGGCGGAUUAAUAAGUCAGCGGUGAAAACCUGCAGCUUAACUGUAGAAUUGCCAUUGAUACUGUUAGUACCG
rnacentral:rRNA from 1 species